rnacentral:rRNA from 1 species
GAAUAGGUGCACAUUAACAAAGACACGAAAUAUCCCAUCUGAUCUCGGAAGCUAAGCAGGGUCGGGCCUGGUUAGUACUUGGAUGGGAGACCACCUAGGAAGACCAGGUGCUGUAGGUG